GGGGGCGCACAAAAAGGGAGGCAAAAUUGGUGGGGCAGGCGGGGUAAAUGGGAGGGGGCGAAGAUUGUUCGGAAAUCCUUGGGGAAGAGCUCGUAGGGGGUCAGGAGGAGGGUGGGAAAGCCCCAGGUCAAGCUGGGGAAGCCGCUGAAUACUUUGGACUAGAGUCCAGUAGGGGAAGUGGAAUUCACGGUGUAGCGGAGAGAUGGGCAGAUAUCGGGGGAGCGGAGCGGCGAGGAGGGCGAUUUGAAAGGUAUGACGAUGAGGAGGGAAAGGGUGGGUAGCAAACAGGAGUAGAGGCAGUGGUAGUCCACGCGGUAAACGUUGAGCACAAGGGGUGGGGCCUUUCCAACGGGUUCCUGCGGUAGGUAGCGCAAUAAAUGCGCAGCAUGGGGAGUACGGCCGCAAGGCUAAAACUCAAAGGAAUUGACGGGGGCCGGCACAAGCGGCGGAGCAUGUUGUUUAAUUCGAGGCAACGCGAAGAACCUACCUGGGUUUGACAGGCACGGAAAAGCCGUAGAGAUACGGUGUCCUUUGGGGUUGUGCACAGGUGGUGCAUGGCUGUCGUCGGCUCGUGUCGUGAGAUGUUGGGUUAAGUCCCGCAACGAGCACAACCCCUGUCCCAUGUUGCCAUCGGGUAAUGCCGGGGACUCUUGGGAGACCGCCGGGGUCAACUCGGAGGAAGGUGGGGAUGACGUCAAGUCAUCAUGCCCCUUAUAUCCAGGGCGGCAAACAUGCUACAAUGGCCAGUACAGAGGGCUGCGAGACCGCGAGGUUGAGCGAAUCCCGUAAAGCUGGUCUCAGUUCGGAUGGGAGUCUGCAACUCGACUCCAGGAAGCCGGAGUCGCUAGUAAUCCCCAAUCAGCAACUCCCCGCGAAUACGUUCCCGGG
rnacentral:rRNA from 1 species